AUUGAACGCUGGCGGCAGGCUUAACACAUGCAAGUCGAGCGGGGUGAUGGUGCUUGCACUAUCACUUAGCGGCGGACGGGUGAGUAAUGCUUAGGAAUCUGCCUAUUAGUGGGGGACAACAUCUCGAAAGGGAUGCUAAUACCGCAUACGUCCUACGGGAGAAAGCAGGGGAUCACUUGUGACCUUGCGCUAAUAGAUGAGCAUAAGUCGGAUUAGCUAGUUGGUGGGGUAAAGGCCUACCAAGGCGACGAUCUGUAGCGGGUCUGAGAGGAUGAUCCGCCACACUGGGACUGAGACACGGCCCAGACUCCUACGGGAGGCAGCAGUGGGGAAUAUUGGACAAUGGGGGGAACCCUGAUCCAGCCAUGCCGCGUGUGUGAAGAAGGCCUUAUGGUUGUAAAGCACUUUAAGCGAGGAGGAGGCUCUUUUGGUUAAUACCCAAGAUGAGUGGACGUUACUCGCAGAAUAAGCACCGGCUAACUCUGUGCCAGCAGCCGCUGUAA
rnacentral:rRNA from 1 species